rnacentral:lncRNA from 1 species
CGUCUCUUUUGGAUGUAGCCGGUUUCUUGGACUCCCGGCGUUCUUUUGUGUUCCGUCUGCAUUUCGGCACGACACAGCUGCACUACUGAACUACAGCAAGCUGAUGGCAUCCGGUGGAGCUUCGUACGGCAACGACUGCUGCUUACCUGGUGCCACAACUUUGGAUGAAUGCAGAAUCCCGGAACGAGCAUUUAUAUAGAGCAAAAUAAACAUUUCAUCAUU